rnacentral:rRNA from 1 species
UGGGGAAUAUUGGACAAUGGGCGAAAGCCUGAUCCAGCCAUGCCGCGUGUGUGAAGAAGGCCUUAUGGUUGUAAAGCACUUUAAGUGGGGAGGAAAAGCUUAUGGAUAACACCCAUAGGUUCUGACGUUACCCACAGAAUAAGCACCGGCUAACUCUGUGCCAGCAGCCGCGGUAAUACAGAGGGUGCAAGCGUUAAUCGGAAUUACUGGGCGUAAAGCGAGCGUAGGUGGUUUAUUAAGUCAGAUGUGAAAUCCCUGGGCUUAACCUAGGAACUGCAUCUGAUACUGACAAACUAGAGUAGGUGAGAGGAAAGUAGAAUUCCAGGUGUAGCGGUGAAAUGCGUAGAGAUCUGGAGGAAUACCGAUGGCGAAGGCAGCUUUCUGGCAUCAUACUGACACUGAGGUUCGAAAGCGUGGGUAGCAAACAGGAUUAGAUACCCUGGUAGUCCACGCCGUAAACGAUGUCUACCAGUCGUUGGGUCUUUUAAAGACUUAGUGACGCAGUUAACGCGAUAAGUAGACCGCCUGGGGAGUACGGCCGCAAGGUUA